rnacentral:tRNA from 1 species
ACCCGGGUCUGUUUCACUAUCUAUAGGGAAUGACAAAGAAGACUGUCACUCCUUCGACCCGGGUUCGAAUCCCGGCCCGGGCG